AUUGAACGCUGGCGGCAUGCCUUACACAUGCAAGUCGAACGGCAGCACGGGGGCAACCCUGGUGGCGAGUGGCGGACGGGUGAGUAAUGCAUCGGAACGUGCCCUGAAGUGGGGGAUAACGCAGCGAAAGCUACGCUAAUACCGCAUAUUCUGUGAGCAGGAAAGCAGGGGAUCGCAAGACCUUGCGCUUUGGGAGCGGCCGAUGUCGGAUUAGCUAGUUGGUGGGGUAAAGGCCUACCAAGGCGACGAUCCGUAGCGGGUCUGAGAGGAUGAUCCGCCACACUGGGACUGAGACACGGGCCCAGACUCCUACGGGAGGCAGCAGUGGGGAAUUUUGGACAAUGGGCGAAAGCCUGAUCCAGCCAUGCCGCGUGAGUGAAGAAGGCCUC
rnacentral:rRNA from 1 species